CAGCCGCCGCGGUAAUACCGGCGGCCCGAGUGGCGGCUACUAUUAUUGGGCCUAAAGCGUCCGUAGCCGGGCUGGUAAGUCCUCCGGGAAAUCUGGUCGCUUAACGAUCAGACUUCCGGAGGAUACUGCUGGCCUAGGGACCGGGAGAGGCCGAGGGUAUUCCCGGGGUAGGGGUGAAAUCCUGUAAUCCCGGGAGGACCACCUGUGGCGAAGGCGCUCGGCUGGAACGGGCCCGACGGUGAGGGACGAAGGCCAGGGGAGCGAACCGGAUUAGAUACCCGGGUAGUCCUGGCGGUAAACGAUGCGGACUAGGUGUCGGGCAAGCUAAGGGCUUGUCCGGUGCCGCAGGGAAGCCGUUAAGUCCGCCGCCUGGGGAGUACGGCCGCAAGGCUGAAACUUAAAGGAAUUGGCGGG
rnacentral:rRNA from 1 species